rnacentral:rRNA from 1 species
CACAAGCGGAGGAGCAUGUGGUUUAAUCCGAUGAUACGCGAGGAACCUUACCUGGGCUCGAACGUAAGAUGACUGUAGGUGAAAGCUUACAUCUCUUCGGAGCAUUUUACGAGGUGCUGCAUGGUUGUCGUCAGCUCGUGCCGUGAGGUGUCGGGUUAAGUCCCAUAACGAGCGCAACCCUACCUUUAGUUGCCAUCAGGUAAUGCUGGGGACUCUAAAGGAACUGCCUACGCAAGUAGUGAGGAAGCGGGGAUGACGUCAAAUCAGCACGGCCCUUACGUCCAGGGCUACACACGUGCUACAAUGGCCGAUACAGAGGGCAGCUACCUGGUGACAGGAUGCAAAUCUCCAAAGUCGGUCUCAGUUCGGAUCGGAGUCUGCAACCCGACUCCGUGAAGUUGGAUUCGCUAGUAAUCGCGCAUCAGCCAUGGCGCGGUGAAUACGUUCCCGGGCCUU